CAAGUCGAACGCGAAAGUUCCCUUCGGGGGACAAGUAGAGUGGCGCACGGGUGAGUAACACGUAGGUAAUCUACCUUUGGAUUGGGAAUAACAACCGGAAACGGUUGCUAAUACCGAAUAAUGCAGCGGCACCUAAUGGUGACAGUUGUUAAAGCGGGGGAUCGAAAGACCUCGCGUCUAAAGAGGAGCCUGCGGCAGAUUAGCUAGUUGGUAAGGUAACGGCUUACCAAGGCGAUGAUCUGUAGCCGGCCUGAGAGGGCGGUCGGCCACACUGACACUGACAUACGGGUCAGACUCCUACGGGAGGCAGCAGUCGGGAAUUUUGGGCAAUGGGCGAAAGCCUGACCCAGCAACGCCGCGUGAAGGAUGAAAUCCCUCGGGAUGUAAACUUCGCAAGAACGGGAAGAAUAAGUGAGAGUUAAUAUCUCUCGCGAUGACGGUACCGUUUGUAAGCUCCGGCUAACUCCGUGCCAGCAGCCGCGGUAAUACGGGGGGAGCAAGCGUUGUUCGGAUUUACUGGGCGUAAAGGGCGCGUAGGCGGCCACCGCAAGUCGACUGUGAAAUCUCCGGGCUUAACCCGGAAAGGUCAGCCGAUACUGCGGGGCUAGAGUGCAGAAGGGGCAACUGGAAUUCUCGGUGUAGCGGUGAAAUGCGUAGAUAUCGAGAGGAACACCUGCGGCGAAGGCGGGUUGCUGGGCUGACACUGACGCUGAAGCGCGAAAGCUAGGGGAGCGAACGGGAUUAGAUACCCCCGGUAGUCCUAGCCUUAAACGAUGAAUGCUUGGUGUCUGGGGGUUUUAUAGUCCCCGGGUGCCGUCGCUAACGCUUU
rnacentral:rRNA from 1 species